rnacentral:rRNA from 1 species
UACGAAGGGGGCUAGCGUUGUUCGGAAUUACUGGGCGUAAAGCGCACGUAGGCGGAUCAUCAAGUCGGGGGUGAAAUCCCGGGGCUCAACCCCGGAAUGGCCUUCGAGACUGGUGGUCUUGAGUUCGAGAGAGGUGAGUGGAAUUCCGAGUGUAGAGGUGAAAUUCGUAGAUAUUCGGAGGAACACCAGUGGCGAAGGCGGCUCACUGGCUCGACACUGACGCUGAGGUGCGAAAGCGUGGGGAGCAAACAGG